GUGGGGAAUAUUGGGCAAUGGGCGCAAGCCUGACCCAGCAACGCCGCGUGAAGGAAGAAGGCUUUCGGGUUGUAAACUUCUUUUAAGAGGGAAGAGAAGAAGACGGUACCUCUUGAAUAAGCCACGGCUAACUACGUGCCAGCAGCCGCGGUAAUACGUAGGUGGCAAGCGUUGUCCGGAUUUACUGGGUGUAAAGGGCGUGCAGCCGGGAAGACAAGUCAGAUGUGAAAUCCCGCGGCUCAACCGCGGAACUGCAUUUGAAACUGUAUUUCUUGAGUACCGGAGAGGUCAUCGGAAUUCCUUGUGUAGCGGUGAAAUGCGUAGAUAUAAGGAAGAACACCAGUGGCGAAGGCGGAUGACUGGACGGCAACUGACGGUGAGGCGCGAAAGCGUGGGGAGCAAACAGGAUUAGAAACCCUAGUAGUCC
rnacentral:rRNA from 1 species